CUGAGAACCACCACGAUGGUGUCCUGGCUUCUCUGUCUGGGUCUGCUCAUGUCACGUCUAUUCUCUAUGGCUUUUUCUGCCUUAGUGAGUUCAAGACAAGAGUGGCCACCUGGAUUAGGGUUCUCUAAAGGGACAGAACUAAUAGAAUAGAUAUAUAUAAAAAGGACAGUUUAUUAAGUAGUAAUAACUCAUGAUUACAAGGUC
rnacentral:lncRNA from 1 species